UUGAAAAUUGGAGUACUGCCUUUACGGUAUGGUGUUUGCAUAGUUGCAUAUUUUGCAUAAAAUUUGCGCUUUUUAAAAGAAUCGUGUUUUGCUUGUGGCAACAUCGGCGAGUGCAAACAAUAGACCAUUUGAAGGACUUUGAGACUGAACUUGUAACAAAGAUAUAAUUUAAAAAUUGCAACACCUGAAAAGCGGAAUACCAAAGACCAUAAAAGAGAAAACUAGAAAUUAUUCAAAUUUAAAAAGUUGCAUGCAAAAUAGGCCAACCGAAUAUCACAGUUAUCAACAAGGACAACCAAAACAGUAAAAAAAUAUGACGGUGUAAUUAUUAAUGCCAGGAAUAUAUAAAAUUAUUUAAAUUAACUAACA